rnacentral:rRNA from 1 species
CCGUGGGGGGGGAAAAUUUCGAGGGUUUUGUUUCUACUCUUUUUCUUUUCGCGUUAGGGGUGAAAUUUUUCUUUUUGGUGUUUCUGACCUAUCAGCUUUCGACGGUAAGGUAUUGGCUUACCGUGGCAGUGACGGUUAACGGGGAAUUAGGGUUCAAUUCCGGAGAGGGAGCCUGAGAAACGGCUACCACAUCUAAGGAAGGCAGCAGGCGCGCAAAUUACCCAAUUCUAACAGCAUAAGAGAGGUAGUGACAAGAAAUAACAGUACAAGGCAGUUAAAAUGCUUUGUAAUUGGAAUGAUAGAAAUUUAAAUACUUUUUAAAGUAUCAAUUGGAGGGCAAGUCUGGUGCCAGCAGCCGCGGUAAUUCCAGCUCCAAUAGCGUAUAUUAAAAUUGUUGCAGUUAAAAAGCUCGUAGUUGAAUUUUUGCUAAAAAUAACCGGUCUGCUAUUAUUACUAAAAGUGGUAUCUUGGUGUGUUUUUAGCAAUAAUGUCCUUUGAAAUGUUUUUUACUUUAAUGUAAAAAGCAAUUUUCAGGAUUUUUACUUUGAGAAAAUUAGAGUGUUUCAAGCAGGCUAACGUUUUGAAUACUGCAGCAUGGAAUAAUAAAUUAGGAUUUUAGUUCUACGUUAUUGGUUUUAAGAGCUAAAUUAAUGAUUGAUAGGAGCAG